GACGAACGCUGGCGGCGUGCUUAACACAUGCAAGUCGAACGGAAAGGCCCUGCUUUUGUGGGGUGCUCGAGUGGCGAACGGGUGAGUAACACGUGAGUAACCUGCCCUUGACUUUGGGAUAACUUCAGGAAACUGGGGCUAAUACCGGAUAGGAGCUCCUGCUGCAUGGUGGGGGUUGGAAAGUUUCGGCGGUUGGGGAUGGACUCGCGGCUUAUCAGCUUGUUGGUGGGGUAGUGGCUUACCAAGGCUUUGACGGGUAGCCGGCCUGGGAGGGUGACCGGCCACAUUGGGACUGAGAUACGGCCCAGACUCCUACGGGAGGCAGCAGUGGGGAAUAUAGCACAAUGGGCGGAAGCCUGAUGCAGCAACGCCGCGUGCGGGAUGACGGCCUUCGGGUUGUAAACCGCUUUCGCCUGUGACGAAGCGUGAGUGACGGUAAUGGGUAAAGAAGCACCGGCUAACUACGUG
rnacentral:rRNA from 1 species